GACAGAGGUGCCGAGCGUUAGGCGGAAUCACUGGGCUUAAAGCGUGUGUAGGCGGACUUCUAAGUACCUUGUGAGAUCCCACGGCUCAACCGUGGAACUGCUCGGUAUACUGGUCGUCUUGAGCCACUUAGGGGCAGUCGGAACAGGUGGUGGAGCGGUGAAAUGCGUAGAUAUCAUCUGGAACGCCAACGGUGAAAACAGACUGCUGGGAGUGCGCUGACGCUGAGACACGAAAGCUAGGGGAGCGAGCGGG
rnacentral:rRNA from 1 species